GACGAACGCUGGCGGCGUGCUUAACACAUGCAAGUCGAACGCUGAAGCACCAGCCUGCUGGUGUGGAUGAGUGGCGAACGGGUGAGUAAUACGUGAGUAACCUGCCCUUGACUCUGGGAUAAGCCCGGGAAACUGGGUCGAAUACUGGAUGCUACAUGUCACCGCAUGGUGGUGUGUGGCAAGGGUUUACUGGUCUUAGAUGGGCUCACGGCCUAUCAGCUUGUUGGGGAGGUAAUGGCUCCCCAAGGCGACGACGGGUAGCCGGCCUGAGAGGGUGACCGGCCACACUGGGACUGAGACACGGCCCAGACUCCUACGGGAGGCAGCAGUGGGGAAUAUUGCACAAUGGGCGAAAGCCUGAUGCAGCGACGCCGCGUGAGGGAUGACGGCCUUCGGGUUGUAAACCUCUUUCAGCAGGGAAGAAGCCACAAGUGACGGUACCUGCAGAAGAAGCGCCGGCUAACUACGUGCCAGCAGCCGCGUAA
rnacentral:rRNA from 1 species